rnacentral:SRP_RNA from 1 species
GCUGGGUGUGGUGGCGCGCACCUGUAAUCCCAGCUACUUGGGAGACUGAGGCAGGAGAAUCGCCUGAACCCGGGAGGUGGAGGUUCCAGUGAACUGAGAUCACAUCAUUGCACUCCAGCUUGGGCAACAAGAGCGAAACGCUGUCUAAAAAAAAAAGCAUACAGCAGGGUGGUGAUGCAGUUUUUUAUUUUUUUUAUUUUUAGACGACGAGUCUUGUUCCGUGCUAGGCUGCAGUGCAGUGGCGCGAUCUCGGCCCACUGCAACCUCCGCCUCCCGGGUUCAAGCGAUUCUCCUGCCUU